rnacentral:rRNA from 1 species
UACGUAGGCAGCAAGCGUUGUUCGGAAUUACUGGGCGUAAAGAGUGUGUAGGCGGUGCUCUAAGUCUGUUGUGAAAUCUCCCGGCUUAACUGGGAGGGUGCGCCGAAUACUGAAUGACUUCGAGUGCGGGAGAGGAGAGUGGAAUUCCUGGUGUAGCGGUGAAAUGCGUAGAUAUCAGGAGGAACACCGGUGGUGUAGACGGCUCUCUGGACCGUAACUGACGCUGAGACACGAAAGCGUGGGUAGCAAACAGG